GUGGUUGAAUAGAAAUAUGUAAAAAUUGCUCAUUUCUGGAAAAUUAGGCUGUAAUUUUUUUCUAGGGCAUUUGCUCAGAUUCUGUAAUUUAGAUGUUUGUUUUUUAAUCAUCAAAAAUCAUUUCUCGAUCUAGCAUUUCAUUGUUAAUCGAAUUAGGUUGUUAUUGUACUUGGAUUUGAAAAUAAUUAUCAAGUUUCUUUGGAAUUUUGAACAAAUUAGGGUGUAUUUUUAUUUUUUUACUCGACUUUAUACCGCCCUCCAAUUUCAAGCAAUUGCAAAAAAUAAAAAAUUCUGGAAGUCUGUGUACACGACAGUGGAACAACAACCAUACCAAUUCCAGUUACUCGGAAUUGCCGGUGAUGUCCCUUGCUCACCAACCUCGUACUCUUUCAUCAACACCCUGAGCUUGAAGUUGUUGCUUAAGAUAUUCGCAGAGUGUCAGGGCUGCUGGAGCAAAUGCGGAGGUUUGUUUAUGCGGAUUGUAUCUAUAUUCUUUAUGGAAAAGAAAAUGAAUCACUGUUGUUUAUGAACGGUAACAUGAGAAGUAGCGUACUACAGCUUAUACGAGGAAAGAGCCUUUGAUAAUAUCGUCAUAUCACCUGGCCCUGGUUCUGCAAUUUGUGCUGCUAAUAUAGGGCCAUAACAAUGUCAAGGAUGGUGAUUCUUCAUCUCAGACUGGAAGCUGUAUAUUGAAGUCUACAAGGAGUGCUUUCAACUUUUGGUUUGACCAAAAUGCAUGUUUCUACAAGUAGACAAAUUGUAUAAAAAUGUUAAUAGAAAAUUAGAAACCAUUCUUAUGAGGGCAAAAUGGUUUGACCAAAGUGCAUGUAUCUAUAAGAAAUUUUCAUAGAAAUCAUGUAUACUUGUACAAUAUAGGUUUACUGACCAUAUAACUUCAAUUUCUUUAUUUGUUCGUUGUUUUGUUGGAAUGUUGGAUGAAUCUCAACGUGUAUAAUACGAGAAUAUUA